UCCAGACUCCUACGGGAGGCAGCAGUGGGGAAUAUUGGGCAAUGGAGGAAACUCUUACCCAGCAAUGCCGCGUGAAUGAAGAAGGUCUUCGGAUUGUAAAGUUCUUUAAUUGGGGACGAAAAAAAUGACGGUACCCAAGGAAUAAGCCCCGGCUAACUACGUGCCAGCAGCCGCGGUAAUACGUAGGGGGCAAGCGUUGUUCGGAUUUACUGGGUGUGAAGGGCGUGUAGGCGGGACUGCAAGUCAGAUGUGAAAACCACGGGCUCAACCUGUGGCCUGCAUUUGAAACUGUAGUUCUUGAGUACUGGAGAGGCAGACGGAAUUCCUAGUGUAGCGGUGAAAUGCGUAGAUAUUAGGAGGAACACCAGUGGCGAAGGCGGUCUGCUGGACAGCAACUGACGCUGAGGCGCGAAAGCGUGGGGAGCAAACAGGAUUAGAUACCCUCGUAAAA
rnacentral:rRNA from 1 species